rnacentral:rRNA from 2 species
UAGGGAAUCUUCCGCAAUGGACGAAAGUCUGACGGAGCAACGCCGCGUGAGUGAAGAAGGUUUUCGGAUCGUAAAACUCUGUUGUCGGAGAAGAACAAGUAGGAGAGUAACUGUUCCUACCUUGACGGUACCCGACCAGAAAGCCACGGCUAACUACGUGCCAGCAGCCGCGGUAAUACGUAGGUGGCAAGCGUUGUCCGGAUUUAUUGGGCGUAAAGCGAGCGCAGGUGGUUUCUUAAGUCUGAUGUGAAAGCCCACGGCUCAACCGUGGAAGGUCAUUGGAAACUGGGGAACUUGAAUGCAGAAGAGGAGAGUGGAAUUCCAUGUGUAGCGGUGAAAUGCGUAGAUAUAUGGAGGAACACCAGUGGCGAAGGCGACUCUCUGGUCUGUUAUUGACACUGAGGCUCGAAAGCGUGGGGAGCAAACAGG